rnacentral:ncRNA from 1 species
AUCGCGAGGAUUUUCGCGAUGUAGGGGAUCAACGGCAAGUUCAGGAUCAACAGCACCAGAUUGCCGAUAUACAUCGAGAUGAUGACCGCCCAGAACACCGCCGGUUCGUCGAUCAUCAGCCGCGGCCC